rnacentral:rRNA from 1 species
GACGAACGCUGGCGGCGUGCUUAACACAUGCCAGUCGAACGCUGAAGCUCAGCUUUUGUUGGGUGGAUGAGUGGCGAACGGGUGAGUAACACGUGAGUAACCUGCCCCCUUCUUUGGGAUAACGCCCGGAAACGGGUGCUAAUACUGGAUAUUCACUGGUCUUCGCAUGGGGGUUGGUGGAAAGGGUUUUUCUGGUGGGGGAUGGGCUCGCGGCCUAUCAGCUUGUUGGUGGGGUGAUGGCCUACCAAGGCUUUGACGGGUAGCCGGCCUGAGAGGGUGACCGGUCACAUUGGGACUGAGAUACGGCCCAGACUCCUACGAGAGGCAGCAGUGGGGAAGAUUGCACAAUGGGCGCAAGCCUGAUGCAGCGACGCCGCGUGAGGGAUGGAGGCCUUCGGGUGGUGAACCUCUUUCGCUCAUGGUCAAGCCGCAACAAUGGUUGUGGUGAGGGUAGUGGGGAAAGAAGCGCCGGCUAACUACGU